rnacentral:rRNA from 1 species
GACGAACGCUGGCGGCGUGCUUAACACAUGCAAGUCGAGCGGUAAGGCCUCUUCGGGGGUACACGAGCGGCGAACGGGUGAGUAACACGUGGGUGACCUGCCCUCAGCUCUGGGAUAAGCCUGGGAAACUGGGUCCAAUACCGGCUAUGACCUUUCCUCGCAAGGGGGUUGGUGGAAAGUUUUUUCGGCUGGGGAUGGGCCCGCGGCCUAUCAGCUUGUUGGUGGGGUGAUGGCCUACCAAGGCGACGACGGGUAGCAGGCCUGAGAGGGCGACCGGCCACACUGGGACGGAGACACGGCCCAGGCUCCUACGGGAGGCGGCAGUGGGGAAUAUUACGCAAUGGGCGUGAGCCUGACGCAGCUACGCCGCGUGGAGGAUGACGGCCUUCGAGUUGUAGACCUCUUUCGACCCCGACGAGUUUUGACGUUAGCAGUAGAAGAAGCACCGGCCAACUACGUG